rnacentral:rRNA from 1 species
GGGGGGGUGCCUAUACAUGCAAGUCAGAACGCGUCUCCGUUAAUGAUUUUAGGUGCUUGCACUUGAAAGAUUUAACAUUGAGACGAGUGGCGAACUGGUGAGUAACACGUGGGUAACCUGCCCUUGAAGUAGGGGAUAACACUUGGAAACAGGUGCUAAUACCGUAUAACAACCAAAACCACCUGGUUUUGGUUUAAAAGACGGCUUCGGCUGUCACUUUAGGAUGGACCCGCGGCGUAUUAGCUUGUUGGUAAGGUAACGGCUUACCAAGGCGAUGAUACGUAGCCGACCUGAGAGGGUAAUCGGCCACAUUGGGACUGAGACACCGCCCAAACUCCUACGGGAGGCAGCAGUAGGGAAUCUUCCACAAUGGACGAAAGUCUGAUGGAGCAACGCCGCGUGAGUGAUGAAGGGUUUCGGCUCGUAAAACUCUGUUGUUGGAGAAGAACAGGUGUCAGAGUAACUGUUGACAUCUUGACGGUAUCCAACCAGAAAGCCACGGCUAACUACGUGCCAGCAGCCGCGGUAAUACGUAGGUGGCAAGCGUUGUCCGGAUUUAUUGGGCGUAAAGCGAGCGCAGGCGGUUUUUUAGGUCUGAUGUGAAAGCCUUCGGCUUAACCGGAGAAGUGCAUCGGAAACCGGGAGACUUGAGUGCAGAAGAGGACAGUGGAACUCCAUGUGUAGCGGUGAAAUGCGUAGAUAUAUGGAAGAACACCAGUGGCGAAGGCGGCUGUCUGGUCUGUAACUGACGCUGAGGCUCGAAAGCAUGGGUAGCGAACAGGAUUAGAUACCCUGGUAGUCCAUGCCGUAAACGAUGAGUGCUAAGUGUUGGAGGGUUUCCGCCCUUCAGUGCUGCAGCUAACGCAUUAAGCACUCCGCCCUGGGA